rnacentral:rRNA from 1 species
GACGAACGCUGGCGGCGUGCUUAACACAUGCAAGUCGAACGGAAAGUCCCUGCUUUUGUGGGGUGCUCUAGUGGCGAACGGGUGAGUAACACGUGAGUAACCUGUCCUUGACUUUGGGAUAACCUCAGGAAACUGGGGCUAAUCGCGGCAAGGAGCUACUGCUGCAUGGUGGGGGUUGGUUAGUUUCGGCGGUUGGGGAGGGACUAGCGGCCUAUCAGCUUGAUGGAGGGGUAGUGGGUUAGCAAGGCUUUGACCGGUAGCCUGCCUGAGCGGGUGACAUGCCAAGUUGGACUGGAAAUGCGGCCCGGCCUCCACCGGGAGGCAGCGGAGGGGUGGGUAGUACAGUGGGCGGAAGCCUAAUGCAGCAACGCCGCGUGGGGGAUGACAGGCUGGGGGUUGUAUUGCGCAUUCGCCUUUGACGAAACGUUAGUGACGGUACUGGGUAAAGAAGCACCGGCUAACUCCGUG